GAAUUUCCUGAGAACAUCUAACACUCAGAAAAGGAACCAGGGACUGAGCUACAGAUCAUCCAAGGCACAGUGUGAUCCGGUCCCUCCACCUGGGAGCCCCAACCCUCGCACCCACCCCGUCCGCCUCUGAGCACGGUCCAGCCCGACUCUACUCCCCACGCCCUCACCGUUCCCUGCGCUGGGCGGCUCUCCCUCCAGGCCUCCCUGGAGUGGCUCCAUCUCAUCUCAGAGAGAGAGGGGAAAAGAAGGAGAAAGGGAGGAAGAGAAAGAUCAAUGUGUGGUUGCCUCUCCC